UUUUCCUACCCUUUCUGUCUUUCGUUCCAUUCGUAUUUUCUUCUCUUCUAUCUAUGCGUGUAAUUCUCUUUCUUUUUCUCUCAUCGCAUUCACGCUUGUAAUAGUUGGUAUGUUAAAAUAGGAAAGAAAGAAAGAAAGAAAGAAAGAAAGAAAGAAAGACAGACAGGAAGAUUGAGAGAGAGAAAAAAAGUGAGAGAAAAGACAGUGACGGAUAAAAUUGGCCCCUAUCAAGGGUUACUUCACUUCUCUUUCUGGAGGAUGGAAAAUUCAGUGAUUUUCCGUCGAAUGCUACGACACUGUGCUACUACAGCGUCGGUGGUAGAGAGAGAGAGGAGAGAAUCGUUCCGUUAGUCGGGUCUCGGCCGUCGUCAACGUCAAUACGACGGUGUACGAGUUGCUUAUCGUCGUCGUCGUCGUUGUCGUCGUCGUCGUCAUCAUCGUCAUCGCCGUCAUUGUUGUUGUUGUUGUUGUUGUUGUUGUUGUUGUUGUUGUUGUUGUUGUUCUCGUAAAUGUCAUCGUUCACGUCGACGUCGUCGUCGGUGGUUGGAAAGUGAAAGGAGAGAAAUAGUUUUCCCGCGUGGAAGAAAGAAAAAAACAAAAAUAACAACAGCUACAAAAGCUACAACAGCAACAACAACAACAACAACAACAACAAGGCGAUAUGUGUUGUAGUGAUGACGCACGAUGACUCUGAUAAAA
rnacentral:lncRNA from 1 species